UACAGAGGGCCGUAGCGUUGUUCGGAAUUACUGGGCGUAAAGCGCGCGCAGGCGGUCUUCCAAGUCAGUGGUGAAAGCCCGGAGCUCAACUCCGGAACUGCCAUUGAAACUGUUAGACUUGAGGAUGAGAGAGGUGAGUGGAAUUCCCAGUGUAGAGGUGAAAUUCGUAGAUAUUGGGAAGAACACCGGUGGCGAAGGCGGCUCACUGGCUCAUAUCUGACGCUCAGGCGCGACAGCGUGGGGAUCAAACAGG
rnacentral:rRNA from 1 species